rnacentral:rRNA from 1 species
AGUAAAAGUCGUAACAAGGUCUCCGUAGGUGAACCUGCGGAGGGAUCAUUACUGAGUGAGGGCCUUCGGGCUCGACCUCCAACCCUUUGUGAACACAACUUGUUGCUUCGGGGGCGACCCUGCCGUUUCGACGGCGAGCGCCCCCGGAGGCCUUCAAACACUGCAUCUUUGCGUCGGAGUUUAAGUAAAUUAAACAAAACUUUCAACAACGGAUCUCUUGGUUCUGGCAUCGAUGAAGAACGCAGCGAAAUGCGAUAAGUAAUGUGAAUUGCAGAAUUCAGUGAAUCAUCGAAUCUUUGAACGCACAUUGCGCCCCUUGGUAUUCCGAGGGGCAUGCCUGUUCGAGCGUCAUUUCACCACUCAAGCCUCGCUUGGUAUUGGGCGCCGCGGUGUUCCGCGCGCCUCAAAGUCUCCGGCUGAGCUGUCCGUCUCUAAGCGUUGUGAUUUCAUUAAUCGCUUCGGAGCGCGGGCGGUCGCGGCCGUUAAAUCUUUCACAAGGUUGACCUCGGAUCAGGUAGGGAUACCCGCUGAACUUAAGCAUAUCAAUAAGCGGAGGAG